rnacentral:lncRNA from 1 species
AAUCCAAAGGCAAAUUCUUAGUUCUCAUUUUAGGCAGUACUUGACAUCUUGACCACUUCCACAUUUUGAAACACUGUCUUCUCUAAGCUUCCAGAACACCUCACUCACUGGUUUCCUCUUACUUAACUGGCAUCUCUUCAGUCUACUUUGCUUUAUCUUCUUCCUCUGACUUCUAAAUAUUAGAGAUGCUCACAUCUUAGUCCCAUGUUUUUUUUCUAUCUCUAUUCUCCCUAAAUGGUUUCAUCCAAUCCCAUGGCUGUAAAUAUUAUCUUUGUUUUGAUAAGUCCCAAGAUUAUAAUUCUAACCCUAACUUUUUGAACACUAGACUGAAUAUUCUUUUUGCAUUCUUAUGGAAAACUUAAGGUACAUAAAAAUAAUAUAUUGAACCUCAAUAAGUUUUUCACUCAAGCAUCAACAGUUACUAAAUUAAUAAUAGAUUAAUUAUUCUUAAUAUGGUAGGUGAUUAUUUUUCAUUUUUGAAGUUGACAUAUUCAUAGACCUUUAUUCCAUAUAUUUUGUGUUUUGCUCAAUUAUUUAACUUUUUAUUGGGACUGAUUGUGGAGGUUAUUUUGGGAAGCUUUUGUAUCUUUAUUCAUUAUUGUACGAGUCUGCAUCAAAUCAGUUGCAGGAAAUAGAUCUGGCUCUUUUAAAUAUAUGGAGAUUUAAUGUAGGGAAUUGGUAUUUAGAAAAUUGUUUAAAGUGGUGGAGGAGUAGGCUUUAGCCUAGACUUUCAGAAAUGAGUCCCAGGAUAAUACUACUAAGUUGGGCUGUUAAGGGAACUACUACCACUGUCCCCAUCCAUCAGGAUGAUGGAGAAUCAAAACCACAACUGGGGAGUUCCUGUCAUGGCUCAGUGAUUAACGAAUCUGACUAGGAACCAUGAGGUUGCGAGUUCGAUCCCUGGCCUCACUUAGUGGGUUAAGGAUCCAGCAUUGCGGUGAACUGUGGUAUAGGUCGCAGAUGUGGCUCGGAUCUGGCAUUGCUGUGGCUGUGGUAUAGGCCGAUGGCUAUAGCUCUGAUUAGACCCCAAACCUGGGAAUCUCCAUAUGCCUUGGGUGUGACCCUCAAAAGACAAAAAGACCAAAAAAAAAAAAAAGAAAAAGAAGAAAGAAAAAAGAGACCUAAAAACAUAUAUUAAAAAAAGGUAGGAGUUCCCGUCGUGGCGCAGGGGUUAACGAAUCCGGCUAGGAACCAUGAGGUUUCGGGUUUGGUCCCUGCCCUUGCUCAGUGGGUUAACGAUCCGGCGUUGCCCUGAGCUGUGGUGUAGGUUGCAGAUGCGGCUUGGAUCCCGCGUUGCUGUGUCUCUGGCAUAGGCCGGUGGCUGCAGCUCCGAUUCAACCCCUAGCCUGGGAACCUCCAUAUGCCGUGGGAAUGGCCCCAAAAAAUAGCAAAAAGACAAAAAAAGAAAAAAAAAAAAA